ACUCCUACGGGAGGCAGCAGUGGGGAAUAUUGCACAAUGGGCGCAAGCCUGAUGCAGCCAUGCCGCGUGUAUGAAGAAGGCCUUCGGGUUGUAAAGUACUUUCAGCAGUGAGGAAGGUUCAUACGUUAAUAGCGUAUGGAUUUGACGUUAGCUGCAGAAGAAGCACCGGCUAACUCCGUGCCAGCAGCCGCGGUAAUACGGAGGGUGCGAGCGUUAAUCGGAAUUACUGGGCGUAAAGCGCAUGCAGGUGGUUUGUUAAGUCAGAUGUGAAAGCCCGGGGCUCAACCUCGGAAUUGCAUUUGAAACUGGCAGACUAGAGUACUGUAGAGGGGGGUAGAAUUUCAGGUGUAGCGGUGAAAUGCGUAGAGAUCUGAAGGAAUACCGGUGGCGAAGGCGGCCCCCUGGACAGAUACUGACACUCAGAUGCGAAAGCGUGGGGAGCAAACAGGAUUAGAUACCCUGGUAGCACAGAG
rnacentral:rRNA from 1 species